rnacentral:rRNA from 1 species
ACAGAGGUACGUAGAAUUCUGUGUGUAGGGGUAAAAUCCGUAGAUACACAGAGGAAUACCAAAAGCGAAGGCAGCGUACUGGGUAACUACUGACGCUCAGGGACGAAAGCGUGGGGAGCGAACGGGAUUAGAUACCCCGGUAGUACACGCCGUAAACGAUGGAUACUAGGUGUUGGGGGACUCGACCCCUCCAGUGCCGACGCAAACGCAUUAAGUAUCCCGCCUGGGGAGUACGAUCGCAAGAUUAAAACUCAAAGGAAUAGACGGGGACCCACACAAGCGGUGGAGCAUGUGGUUUAAUUCGAUAAUAAGCGAGGAACCUUACCUGGAUUUGACAUCCCGAGAAUUUUCUAGAAAUAGAAAAGUGCCGCAAGGAACUCGGUGACAGGUGCUGCAUGGUUGUCGUCAGCUCGUGCCUUGAGGUGUUCGGUUAAGUCCGUGAACGAGCGCAACCCUUGUGCUGUGUUGUAUCUUUCACAGCAGACUGCCGGCUUUAAGUCGGAGGAAGGUAAGGAUGACGUCAAAUCAGCAUGGCCCUUAUAUCCAGGGCUACACACGUGCUACAAUGGUCGGUACAAUGGGCAGCAAACCCGUAAGGGGGAGCCAAUCUCUAAAACCGAUCUCAGUUCGAAUUGAGGGCUGCAACUCGCCCUCAUGAAGUUGGAAUCGCUAGUAAACGCGGAUCAGCAAUGGCGCGUUGAAUAUGUUCCUGGGUCUUGUACUCACCGCCCGUCACAUCACGAAAGAUGGGGGCAUCCGAAGUAUCGUUAGCUUUCGAGCGCGGUCCUAAGGUGAAAUCAUUGAUUGGGAUGAAGUCGUAACAAGGUACC